rnacentral:rRNA from 1 species
CCUACGGGGGGCAGCAGUGAGGAAUAUUGGUCAAUGGGCGGGAGCCUGAACCAGCCAAGCCGCGUGAGGGAAGAAGGUACAGCGUAUCGUAAACCUCUUUUGUCAGGGAACAAAGGCGGGGACUAGUCCACGGAUGAGGGUACCUGAAGAAAAAGCAUCGGCUAACUCCGUGCCAGCAGCCGCGGUAAUACGGAGGAUGCGAGCGUUAUCCGGAUUUAUUGGGUUUAAAGGGUGGGCAGGCGGCCUGUUAAGUCAGCGGGAAAAGCCCGGGGCUCAACCCCGGCGAGCCGUUGAAACUGGCGGGCUGGAGUUGGAGAGAAGUACGCGGAAUGCGCGGUGUAGCGGUGAAAUGCUUAGAUAUCGCGCAGAACCCCGAUUGCGAAGGCAGCGUACCGGCUCCACACUGACGCUGAGGCACGAAAGCGUGGGUAUCGAACAGGAUUAGAUACCCCUGUAGUC